rnacentral:snRNA from 14 species
AUACUUACCUUCUUGAAAGCUGGCCGCUCACGUAUGGCUUCGCUUGCGAUACGAAACCUCCAUUGCACAUCGGGGCGUUGAGAAUCGUUAUCUCUCCUUCGGGGGCGAUAUCGGGGGAAUUUUUGAUUGCACUCUCUCGCGUAAGC